UGGGGAAUAUUGGGCAAUGGGCGAAAGCCUGACCCAGCAACGCCGCGUGAGGGAAGAAGGUUUUCGGAUUGUAAACCUCUGUCCUAAGUGACGAAGGAAGUGACGGUAGCUUAGGAGGAAGCCCCGGCUAACUACGUGCCAGCAGCCGCGGUAAUACGUAGGGGGCGAGCGUUGUCCGGAAUGACUGGGCGUAAAGGGCGUGUAGGCGGCCGAUUAAGUAUGGAGUGAAAUUCCAGCUUUCAAGGUUGGACUUGCUUUGUAGACUGGUUGGCUUGAGUGCGGAAGAGGUAAGUGGAAUUCCCAGUGUAGCGGUGAAAUGCGUAGAGAUUGGGAGGAACACCAGUGGCGAAGGCGACUUACUGGGCCGUAACUGACGCUGAGGCGCGAAAAGCGUGGGGAGCGAACAGGAUUAGAUACC
rnacentral:rRNA from 1 species